rfam:Gossypium hirsutum cultivar TM-1 chromosome 12, whole genome shotgun sequence
UGUUAAAAACUUCAUCCAUUUCUGUUGUUAGAAACUGGCAUUGUUGACGAAAUAACCAAACAGUGUCACGUGUAUCUCAUGCUAAUGUACGUGGAUCAAUUUUUAAUAGUAGGAAUAGAUGAAAUUUUUAAUC